CACACACACAUUAGUACAUGAACAGAACUCAUUUUCUGAUUGUUUAUUAAUACAGUGAAAAAUCUAAUUAAGCAGAGAACUCAGACAGAGGUAGUGAUGGUGGUGGUGAUGGUAGUGCUGGUGACGAUCAUGAUGGUGGUGGUGGUGGUGAUGGUGG